rnacentral:rRNA from 1 species
UACGUAGGGGGCAAGCGUUGUCCGGAUUCAUUGGGCGUAAAGAGCUCGUAGGCGGUUCAGUAAGUCGGGUGUGAAAGCUCCGAGCUCAACUCGGAGAGGCCACCCGAUACUGCUGUGACUUGAGUCCAGUAGAGGAGCGUGGAAUUCCUGGUGUAGCGGUGAAAUGCGCAGAUAUCAGGAGGAACACCAGCGGCGAAGGCGGCGCGUCGCG